CUGGAAGUGCUAACGAGACCCGCUGGAAGGAUUUGCGUCUCCUGGUAGUCAUAGAGGAACUUGGGAGCGCUGGGUACAGGAAGUGGAUCUCGGCCUGGUUCGCUUGCUGAAGUAGAGCUCUAUUUCGAGGGACGCAAUCUGCAGGAAACAAAAAUGCAAGUCGAGGUUUGGGAAGAGUUGUCACUUUCCCGACUUGAGUGGUGCGGGCUGGGGGCGGAGAUUCGGGACUGUUGAGAGGCCAUUUCUCCUACCUCAGCUCCUUGCCCUGGACUUCCAGAAGGAAGAAUUACCCGUCUCACCCUGCUUCCUCCCGACACCAUCCCCGCUGGCCUGCCGGCCCCUUUCCGCACCUCCUUUUCCCUUCAAGUGUGAAAAGCCUUGUUCCCGAGCUAGUGGAGUCGACCCCCUCGCCCCUCCCGCUCCCACGUCUUCCCCCCUCCAGCCAUCGCUACUGCCACCAACUCAGUUCCACUCAAUCGAUUUUUGCUGCAUGUCAACACUUAUUACCGCUGUCCCCUCCCCUCUUCCCCACUCAAGAAAAGAGAUAAAGUGGAUGCAAGCCAGAGAAAGAUGUGAUGUUACAUAAGGAAUUUCCAGCCAACGUGCAGAACAAUUCUUGUACCUCUAAGAAGAUUGGUUUAUUUCUAUGCAAAAUAGCUGCUUUACUCAAAAUGCAGUGUCUAGCCCAUUAUAACCUCUUAGUAAAUACUCUUUUGAACACGUAACGCCUCCACCUGAUACCCCUUGGAUCCUACCUAUGACCUGUUCACUGAAGCAGCAUCAUUUUUACUGAGAGCAUUCACCCACAUCUUUGGACUUGGGGGUGUGAAUAAGUGGCUGUGAUGUGUGGUAUGAAAUCUGCGUAAUUCAAUUAACUCUAACGAUCAUGUCUUAACUUCUUCAAAACCCCACUGCUUCUCCUUCACAGCCUGUAUAGGGAUCAUGAGAAUUUCUGGCAGAGGUUGGAGGUUGGCCUCAGAUACAUGCUGGGAGCCAGGUUUUUCAGAGACUCAGCAGGCAUCAAGCAUGUGAGCAAUACAGCCCAAGUUGGUCAUCACCAAACUUUGUUACCCCACUUCCCUGAGAAAAACAGAAUUGACUCAAAUGUUCUACCAGUUACCUCUUGAGAGAAAUCAACACAUCAAAGCAGAUAAAUAAAAAGGUAUGAAAUCACACUCAGUUGCCCUGCAAUGACUUAGAGACACAGAGAAACAUAGGUGGGGAAAGGACAUUUACUUUUAAAGGUGUGGGUGGUUUGGCACAGGGGUAUUAUAAAGGAUAUUGCAGCGCUCACUCAAACUGUCUUCUCCCCACCAAAUUACCAUGUUAUCUGAUACCCUCAAUCUGUUUGUGUCCUGGGUAACAGACAGUUUGACCAAGAGGUCAUCGACCAGAGGGCUUGGGUGACUACAAACAAGUUUGACAAGAAAGGAAUCUGGGUGGGGUGCCACCGUGGAGGUGGAGAGAGGAUGAGACCACGGUGACGGGACCAUCCCGGCAACCCCAAAUCUGUGCUGAACCAUUCACAAGCAAAGCCUUUUCAGAGAACAGGAGGAAGAGCUGUCAACAUAGCUUCAUGGAUGGGAGAAAUUACAUCUCUCCACAUGCUUUUCCCUUCCCAUUAUUUCUUACUUUCUUCAUUUCCUCCUCCCCCCCCCCUUCUGCCACCUCAGUAGGCUCUCCCGAGAAUUCUGCCUGCCCCUGGAUUAUCUCCUGCUUGUUUCCUCUUUGGAAUUAAGGCUUCAAGAUUAUUUUUAGUGUUUACUCUUCGAGAUAUGAAACGUUGUUUUAUCCAAGCAAGGGUCUACCUGUAAACUAUUUGUAUUCAUAACUAUGGAGUGCUUGUAUGAUUAAUAAAGGUGUUAGGCCCAAUAUGUAAAGCAUGCAAUAUUGGAACCUUUUUUUUCAUCUCAGGAGAGGGACUGCACGUUCUUUAAUAAAGUCCCACUGCACACUGGACAUCCUGGAAGUGGACAGCAUUACCCGUGGCAUCAAGACCACCAAAGUGGUAAAUCUCAGUUUAAUUUACUACUCUCAACUUGGAAGUUCCUCCCCCACAUGAAACUAUGACCUUGGAUGGGUCAAUAUUUUGUGUUCCAAGAGAAAAUAGAUACAGUGCUAUGUAGAGAUUAUGUGAUAA